GCAGCAGCAGCUGGGCCUCCUCCCAGCACCCCUCCGGCACAGCUGCAACUGCUGAGCACAAGCAGGACAGCUGGCUGGCGUCUCCUCCGCGUCCCCCCUUCCACCCUUCCUGGCUGCCCUCCCCGUUCCCUCGCCAACCUGGCUCACCCGCCUCUCUCCUGGGCCACCCCAAAAGUGUGGUGGCCCAUGCCAAGGCUUGGCAAUGUAUCUUCAUUAUCCCAACUCUCUGCAUGCGCAGCGACGGAGCAGCAUUCCUCCACCUCUCCUGUCACAUCCUGCUGGCAGCCAAGUAGGAUGAUGAUGACACAGUAGGGCUUGGGUAGGUUUUUGCUCUGUCUUGUCCCGCAGCCAACCUCUUUGACCUCUGGAUGAACCCAAUAAAAGAGAGUGUCUUUGGAGCACGCUCUUGCCGGUUUUACAUCUGCGACCAGUUGCAAUUUAAAUUCCCUUUCUGUUUGGGAGAGGAAAUGAGAGAGGAGUAAGGAAGAGUGAUAGUUAAAACGAAAAAAAAUAAAAAUAAAAAUGAAGAAAUGAAAAAGAAAAAAGAAGCUGGAUAAGAAGAAACCAAAAACAGAGAACUGAGGCAAAUCUUGUGGUCGGAAAGAACUCGGUAAAAAGUGAAGUCAAUGUUUCAUAAUAUAUUAAUAUAUUUCUUCUAAGAAAACAGUGGAAAAAAAGUACAGGGCCUUAUCUUUUGUCCAUAGCUACUUCACAUGUAAAUUCACAGGGUCACUGUUGGGGUGGGAAUGUGCCGAGCAUUUCACUGACACCAGCUGAGAACUUGUCAAGCGUCCUGGUUUGACAGGUAAUCAAAGCUUAAUCCAAAGGGCAGGCCAGAACCCCAAUUACAUGUCCAACGGUCAUCGUAAACAUUAAUAUAUCACCACCGGCUGAGCUGGUGAAGACUGAACUCUUGCUGCUUAAAGCCUCUCCUGCCUCCAACAGACAGCCAAAAUCCCAAUCCCAAAAUAGCAGCACCAUAGCAGUAACACCAUCAUAAUCCCCAGCCAUGGACUGACUGGAAAUGAAUCGACAGAGGGAAUUUUGGUAGACAAAUGAGAUAAAGAUGUGACUGGGGUUGAAAGCCUAAUGCCUCUGAGAGCUCCAAUGGGAAAACUUCAGAUUCCAUGCCUGGCAAUGGAGAGCACCCAUGCCUUGGGGAGUCCAGUGCUCUCAGAAGGCUCCAGGAUCUCAGUGAGUUCUCCUUGAGUCUACUCCUCAUUGAAGCUCACCCUCCCAUGGCAUCCCAAGGACAACAACUUGGUCAUUUGCAGUAAUGCCCCUGGAACUGGCUUCAACAAUGUUGCAUCAAACCGUGGUGGCAAGAUUGUUUAUGUUGCAUUUUUUUGGCAUAUUUGGGAUGUAGUUUCCACCACUUUGAAGAUGCCAAUAUCUCCAGUUCUUCCAUUUCUUAAGUGGUAAGCAUCUUUUAAGAAAAUGCUAACCUGGGUCCUGGGAUCACCAAAACCUCAGAACAAACUGCAAAUGCUGCCUCUGAGCAUUGCCCAACAGGUAAAAUUUUUAAAGUAACUGAGGAACCAUGGAGCAAUGGGAGAACAUGACAAAGAGAAUGACAUAAUGUGGAUAAACUAAAGCUCACUAGAAUAAUAGAACUAGAUUAAAAGAACUAAGAUUUCUAAUUUGUUUCAGUCCAUGUUUACUCCAUGGAAGAAAGGUUUAUCAUAAAGGCUAGACAUAGACCUGGUGAUUUUACCAAUAUGUGAUGUAUUUGGGUCCUGAAUAUGAAAUAGAUUCUUUCCAUUGAGUUCUGCCCUUAUCCAGUGGCCACCCUUUCAUCACUUCAGCACUUUCUGAAUUUGUUCUGCCUGAUUAUAUUCAGGUUUGGAGCAGGAGAACUGUUGCUCCAGAGCAAAAAGGCCCCUCACCUGUUGUUACUUAUCUUCUACCAGCUAAUGCCAGACAUUUCCGAAGAAGGUGAGGAAAAUUACAUUGCACAACUGAUCUUUACUCUGCUAAAACUCUGCCUUAGAUGGAGGGGCUGGCAUACAACAAGACUAUCCCAUAAUCCAGAGGUAUGAUGGUUAGAAGUCAGUCACUCUAUCAACCUACAUAUUUACAAGGUACUUGGUAUAAAUACACAAGAAAAAUUGGAUGACCUUAAGCGCAGGAGAAUUGGAAAUAGAAUGAAAUCUAAUAUUACAGAGCCAAGCACUUAGAGACUAACAACAAGAAUAGCUGCUUUAAGCAGGGUGCUCAUCCACUGGAAACAAUGAAAUUGCAGGAGAAGGAAGUGGGUCCAUGCCUUCAUCAUAGCACGAUCAGGCACUGCUGAUGUGAUGCAGUUAUGGAAAAGCAGCAUGCAGUAGCUGUAUGCAGUACAACAACUAUUUACAUUUAAGUUAGUGAAGUGUUAAUAGCAUAGGACAAGGUCUCCCUUGGCAUAACAGAAACUGUUCUGGCACUCCAAGUCCAAAAAAGGUGAAUUUGAAGUGGAGCAGAUAAAGUAAAGGGCUUCUGCGGUGAUCAGGUGGACAGAAAGCCCAUCAAAUGUGAGGAGACUAGGAGAGCUUGUUUUGUUUAUCCUAGAUAAAAACAAAGAUGUGUUGGUCUGUGUUAAUACAUCGGUGAUGUAGAUGUCACAGAGGGUGACAAGUUAUUCAAGUUAAAGGACAGUGCUGGAACAAAAACAAAUGGGUGUAAACAAACUGGGAAUAA